GCCAGUAUGGUGUAAUGGUUUGAGUGUUGGACUAAGACUCUGGAGAUCAGGGUUCAAACCCAUAUUCAGCCA